rnacentral:SRP_RNA from 1 species
CCGUGCUAGGCGGGGAGUUAGCGGUGCCCUCCACCCGAAAUCCGCUCAGCGGGGCACAAUUCCCGUCCGAGGGGCUCAUCCCGGGUGGUCGGGCUCGAGCAGUGCGGUGUUGAUGGCGAGGUCCCAUUCGGUGGGCGACCGUGAAUCAGGUCAGGUCCGGAAGGAAGCAGCCUUAAGCGGAUCCGCCUUCGCGCAGUGGGGCAACCUCACCGGAGCAAGCAGCUCGAGUACCGUCUCGGAAUGACGUUUCAACGACGGGUGCACGG